UACGUAGGGCGCGAGCGUUGUCCGGAAUUAUUGGGCGUAAAGAGCUCGUAGGCGGCCUGUUGCGUCCGCUGUGAAAUCCCAGGGCUCAACCCUGGGCGUGCAGUGGAUACGGGCAGGCUGGAGGCAGGCAGGGGAGAACGGAAUUCCCGGUGUAGCGGUGAAAUGCGCAGAUAUCGGGAGGAACACCAAUGGCGAAGGCAGCUCGCUGGGACGUGACUGACACUGAGACGCGAAAGCGUGGGGAGCAAACAGG
rnacentral:rRNA from 1 species